rnacentral:rRNA from 1 species
CCUACGGGAGGCUGCAGUGAGGAAUAUUGGACAAUGGAUGGAAAUCUGAUCCAGCCAUGCCGCGUGCAGGAAGACGGCCCUAUGGGUUGUAAACUGCUUUUAUAUGGGAGCAAUAAGGUCUACGCGUAGACCGAUGAGAGUACCAUAUGAAUAAGCAUCGGCUAACUCCGUGCCAGCAGCCGCGGUAAUACGGAGGAUGCGAGCGUUAUCCGGAUUUAUUGGGUUUAAAGGGUGCGUAGGCGGCCUUAUAAGUCAGCGGUGAAAUUUUGCAGCUUAACUGUAACAGUGCCGUUGAUACUGUAGGGCUAGGAUUUGGUUGCUGUGGGUGGAAUGUGUGGUGUAGCGGUGAAAUGCUUAGAUAUCACACAGAAUAUCGAUUGCGAAGGCAGCUCACAAAGCCAAGAUUGACGCUGAGGCACGAAAGUGUGGGGAUCAAACAGGAUUAGAUACCCCUGUAGUC